rnacentral:rRNA from 1 species
UGGGGAAUCUUGGACAAUGGGGGCAACCCUGAUCCAGCCAUGCCGCGUGAGUGAUGAAGGCCUUAGGGUCGUAAAGCUCUUUCGCCUGUGAAGAUAAUGACGGUAGCAGGUAAAGAAACCCCGGCUAACUCCGUGCCAGCAGCCGCGGUAAUACGGAGGGGGUUAGCGUUGUUCGGAAUUACUGGGCGUAAAGCGCACGUAGGCGGACCAGAAAGUUGGGGGUGAAAUCCCGGGGGCUCAACCCCGGAACUGCCUCCAAAACUAUUGGUCUAGAGUUCGAGAGAGGUGAGUGGAAUUCCAAGUGUAGAGGUGAAAUUCGUAGAUAUUUGGAGGAACACCAGUGGCGAAGGCGGCUCACUGGCUCGAUACUGACGCUGAGGUGCGAAAAGUGUGGGGAGCAAAACAGGAUUAGAUACCCUGGUAGUCCACACCGUAAAACGAUGAAUGCCAGUCGUCGGGUAGCAUGCUAUUCGGUGACACACCUAACGGAUUAAGCAUUCCGCCUGGGGAGUACGGUCGC